rnacentral:tRNA from 1 species
GUGGCCGUAGCUCAGUCUGGUUAGAGCGCCGCGUUGUGGUCGCGGAAGUCGGGGGUUCAAGUCCCCUCGGUCACCCCA